AUAAUUUUAAAGUUUAUUUUGAACUAUUAAUUUCUUUUGUAUCGUUCACACUAUGUGUUACAAACGCAAGCUAGGAAAUGCAAAGGCAAAGGAACGUAAAGAACGCAAACGUUGUCAAGAGACUGAGCUUAGUGGAGGGAUUAAAUAUCACCAGGCCUCGUAAUUUUGCCUUAGCCUACAUGCUCCAUAAUUAUUAAUCAGCCACUGCUGCGAAUUUAUCAUUGCUGUAUGUAUUUGUAGCGAAGAUCAGACAGUCUUGAUGGAAAUAUGUGUUGCUAUCUCUCAUGGAGAUUUUACCGUCAUAGAGGCUGGAACGAGUGCAUGAUCAAACGUGUUUAUAUGUUUGUCAUAUUGAUGUUUAGACUACGAAAAUGAAGUAAUUGCUUACAAACGAGCAAAUGAAGAAAAUUUGAGAUAUUUUCACAGUGGAUCUAUCGGAUGGGACUUUGAUAUCAUCCGUCCCAUUAUUUUGACUCGUCUUGGCAUCUCUUUAUCAUCGUUGAAUUCAAAAAGAAACUCUUCUGUUCGACUCUACGACAGAACAACUAAGAGCGAAAUUAUAUCUGUUUAUUUCUCUUUCCAAGACCCUGGUACAACAGAAAACGGUUCGUCGUUUAAAGCAAUUGAAAACUUUAUUUUGCCAAAGAUUCUCCGGGGAAGAGAGUCGUGACAAAAGAGGAAGAAGAAACUCGAAUGUCGGAGUGGCAGCGAUUGAAAGACGAUGAGAAUGAACGUUUACUUAAAGAAAGCAGAACUAUUUCUGAUAUUCUUUUGUUUCAAAUGUCGAUGUUUACAGAAAUCUUCCAUCCCAGUUGCUUCAGUUUUUCUCGUGGCUCUCGGCGACUUUAAGUUUUUCCUUUGUAAUGAAAACUGACGAUGAUUGUUUUGUUAACCUGGAGACCAUCUUACAGGAAAUGGAAAGUCAUAAUUUAAAAAACACGUCUGGUGGGGAAGCUUUCGUACUGAUUGGUUGAUCGAGAGACAGGGAAAAUGGGCCGAGCCUGAUUAUCCGGGAGUGGCUUAUCCGACAUUUGCCUGCGGUGCGGGCAGCAUUAUAUCUUCGGAUAUUGUUCACUGGCUGGCAAAAAACGAGAAAUCUCUAAAACGUUAUCAGGGGGAGGAUGUCUCUAUGGGUAUUUGGUUAUCAGCUAUUGCUCCUGAAAUUUAUAAGGAUGAGCGAUGGUCGUGUUUCGGGGAUUGUCAGAUGGAAAUGUUUACCUUGCCCGAGCAGGAUGCCGAUUCUCUUCUCUAUUUAUGGGAAAACUUUAUGUCCUGCGGUAAUCCUUGCAAAUGUUGAGGAGUUAAUCUUUAUGUGGAAACAUCUUCGUGGUAGUCAAGUUGUACCACAGUUCAUUGUCAAAUCUCAUCUUUCCUGAAACAGGAUCCAUAAAUAUUCUCUUCAGUAGAACACACGGCCAUAUUCCUCCAAGAAUCUUUUCAAUAUCACGAGGAUUCAACAGAAACGUUUGACAUGACCGUUAAAGUUUCUUCAUCGGAAACGCUACUACCGUUUGGUAGGGCGAUAAAACGAUCAGCGUUUUUAAUAUCUUCUAUUAAACUUCCACCUCUUUCCUCGCGUGUGAACACGCUACUGUUGCUUGUCAAGCUGUCGGCAACGUUCGACACCUUUUGACCAAUUUUAUCGGGAGAUUCCGACUCUCAACCCUGAGCGCUCUCCGUCUCGCUGUUGAAUCUGGAGUGACGAGUCUCGCUACUCGUGGAAAUGUAGCUGUUUUCUUGUGGACUUCCUUGUUGUCGUCUCUGCUCUCGUUGUUGUUUGUAUUCACAUGCUGCAAGUUUCGCAGUCAAAUCACGUAUUUCCUCCUGUGAAAAGUGUAAGGAUAAUGAUUUUAAUAUAAAUCGGCUUAUUUCAUAAGUGUUAACGGAUUCUUUGCUACAAUUUCAAUGGUUUUAAUUGAGGAUAAUUACUCUAUAUUGAAGAUGAUAAUCUCUGUAAAUUGGGGAUAAUAAUCAACUACAAGUGAUAAUGAUCA